rnacentral:rRNA from 1 species
GACGAACGCUGGCGGCGUGCUUAACACACGCAAGUCGAACGGAAAGGCCCCGCUUUUGUGGGGUGCUCGAGUGGCGAACGGGUGAGUAACACGUGAGUAACCUGCCCUUGACUUUGGGAUAACUUCAGGAAACUGGGGCUAAUACCGGAUAGGAGCUCCUGCUGCAUGGUGGGGGUUGGAAAGUUUCGGCGGUUGGGGAUGGACUCGCGGCUUAUCAGCUUGUUGGUGGGGUAGUGGCUUACCAAGGCUUUGACGGGUAGCCGGCCUGAGAGGGUGACCGGCCACAUUGGGACUGAGAUACGGCCCAGACUCCUACGGGAGGCAGCAGUGGGGAAUAUUGCACAAUGGGCGGAAGCCUGAUGCAGCAACGCCGCGUGCGGGAUGACGGCCUUCGGGUUGUAAACCGCUUUCGCCUGUGACGAAGCGUGAGUGACGGUAAUGGGUAAAGAAGCACCGGCUAACUACGUG